rnacentral:rRNA from 1 species
GACGUAGGGCGCGAGCGUUGUCCGGAUUUAUUGGGCGUAAAGAGCUCGUAGGCGGCUUGUCGCGUCUGCUGUGAAAAUCCGGGGCUCAACCCCGGACUUGCAGUGGGUACGGGCAGACUAGAGUGUGGUAGGGGAGACUGGAAUUCCUGGUGUAGCGGUGAAAUGCGCAGAUAUCAGGAGGAACACCGAUGGCGAAGGCAGGUCUCUGGGCCACUACUGACGCUGAGGGACGAAAGCUAGGGGAGCGAAUGGG